rnacentral:rRNA from 1 species
UACUAACGCUGGCGGCGUGCUUAACACAUGCAAGUCGAACGGAAAGGCCCUGCUGUUGUGGGGUGCUCGAGUGGCGAACGGGUGAGUAACACGUGAGUAACCUGCCCUUGACUUUGGGAUAACUUCAGGAAACUGGGGCUAAUAACGGGUAUGAGCUCCUGCUGCAUGGUGGGGGUUGGAAAUUUUCGGCGGUUGGGGAUGGACUCGCGGCUUAUCAGCUUGUUGGUGGGGUUGUGGCUUACCAAGGCUUUGACGGGUAGCCGGCCUGAGAGGGUGACCGGCCACAUUGGGACUGAGAUACGGCCCAGACUCCUACGGGAGGCAGCAGUGGGGAAUAUUGCACAAUGGGCGGAAGCCUGAUGCAGCAACGCCGCGUGCGGGAUGACGGCCUUCGGGUUGUAAACCGCUUUCGCCUGUGACGAAGCGUGAGUGACGGUAAUGGGUAAAGAAGCACCGGCUAACUACGUG